GGAAGAUGAGAGGAAAGGACGGGAGGUAGAAGUAACAAAAGUGAAACAAAAACUAAAAAUUGAAAUAUAUUUGAAAUUGUUUUCAUUUUUGUUACUCCUCCCUCUCAUCCUCUCUCUCAAUCUCAUCA
rnacentral:miRNA from 1 species